rnacentral:rRNA from 1 species
UACGAAGGGGGCUAGCGUUGCUCGGAAUCACUGGGCGUAAAGCGCACGUAGGCGGAUUGCUAAGUCAGGGGUGAAAUCCUGGAGCUCAACUCCAGAACUGCCUUUGAUACUGGCGACCUUGAGUCCGGGAGAGGAGAGUGGAAUUCCUGGUGUAGCGGUGAAAUGCGCAGAUAUCAGGAAGAACACCCGUGGCGAAGGCGGCUCUCUGGACGGUAACUGACGCUGAGACGCGAAAGCGUGGGGAGCAAACAGG